GACAGAGGAUGCAAGCGUUAUCCGGAAUGAUUGGGCGUAAAGCGUCUGUAGGUGGCUUUUUAAGUCCGCCGUCAAAUCCCAGGGCUCAACCCUGGACAGGCGGUGGAAACUACCAAGCUGGAGUACGGUAGGGGCAGAGGGAAUUUCCGGUGGAGCGGUGAAAUGCGUAGAUAUCGCCUGGAACGCCGAAGGUGAAAACAGUCUGCUGGGGGCGUGCCGACGCUGAGACACGAAGCCAGGGGAGCGAACGGG
rnacentral:rRNA from 1 species